GAGUGGAAGUUACUGGAAAACAAAGGUAAAAGAGAAGGCAACACUUUUAAUAUUGAACUUAUAUUAAACACUAACCUAUAAAGAUGGCAAAGAUGGCGUAGCGUGGUCUAGGAGAAGGAGGAGGUGGUUUGUGAGAAAGGAAAUACGUUUUCUGGUGUAACGAAGAGACUUUCUUCAUCUAAAGUAUAAGUAGGAUUCCUAAUUCCUUCUGCAUUCUGUUUCUUUUACUAUCCCUCAAGAUUCAGAAACGUAGGGAACCAAGUCAUGGUUAGAUUAGUUUAUAAAGAUUGGCUGCGUGAGCUGCUGGUCUCCUGCUGUCACGUGCCAAAGAUCCAUCCCCUGGUCUGUGAGGAGGAGGAGGAAGAGAUAUUGGAAGAGAAAUGGGAGGAUGAAGUGAUGGUUAUGAAGAUCAGAAGGAAUCUUUAGUGAAGGAACAGGGAGGCCAGAGAAAAUCCCGCUGGCUGGAGAUCGGGGAGGCAGCUCCCUCAUUCAAGAAGAAUUCAGGGAUGGGAUGAGGACUUUGGGAUGAGAAACUAUUUGAGGAUAGUUCAGACGAGAGGAGGAAGAUUUUGAGGAAGCAAACAUGUUUUUUAGCGCAACGAAUUGACUUUCUUCAUCUAAAGCAUUCUGCAGUCUGAGAAGGCUGGGUGAGCUGCUGGUCUCCUGCUGUCGUGCCACAAAAAUCCAUCCCCUGGUCUGUGAGGAGGAGGACACAGUGAGUGUAAUGAAGGAUGGAAAGGAAAGAAGGGUAAAGGUGAGAACGAUCUACGUAAGGCCAAGGGACCAGAGGAUGGAUACCACAGAUGCUACUACCAAUGGUGAGUGUUGAUCUUUGUUCAGGAGGAACAGGGAGGCCAGAGAGAAUCUGGAUCACUGAGGGUGGGGGGAGGCAGCUCCCUCAUUCAAGAAGAGUUCAGGGAUGGGAUGAGGAAGGGAGGAAGGGAGAAUAACGCAAGCCACCUGGAGAUCCUUGCAGGAAAGAUGGGUCAUCAAUGUAAUAAUUAAUGAAAAAAUUAAGAAUCUUUUCUCUUCAUUUCUCUUCAGGCAGUGAUAGCAGUGAGGCCAGCAGCUCCAGUACAGCUCUACCCCGCUCCAAGACCCAGUUCU